GUCUACAGCCAUACCACCCUGAACACGCCCGAUCUCGUCUGAUCUCAGAAACUAAGCAUGAUCGGGCCUGGUUAGUACUUGGAUGGGAGACCACCUGUGAAUACCGGGUGCUGUAGGCU
ensembl:rRNA 5S_rRNA 5S ribosomal RNA